rnacentral:lncRNA from 1 species
GUGUGUGUGUGUGUGUGUGUGUGUGUGUGUGUGUGUGUGUGUGUGUGUGUGUGUGUGUGUGUGUGAGUAAACAUGAGGGACCUUCAUGGUCUGAGCUGGAACAUCAACAUGAGUCGGACCUUCAUCAGAGGACAGAAAACAUGGCUGCUGCCGCUGUAAGCAGGGUGGAGCUGACCCCAGGUCAGCUGGUGGAGGUAUAAAUGCCUUCAGCUGCUCUGAUCCAGAUCAAAGAUGAAGUCUGUCCUGUUUUCCUCCAUGGUGGUGAUGAUGGUGAUGAUGAGUCCUUGUGUCUCUCCUGGUCCACUUCCUGCUCCACCUGAGCACACCAGACACAACAAGUCGAUCACCGAGAGUUUCCACCACUUCUUGGACCUAACGAACUUCACCAGGUCGGACCGUCAUCCGAACCAAACCGACAUUGGGUUUGUCAGGCUCCUCACCCCCCAGCGCUGUUUCCUAUCCACCUGUCUGACAGCAAACCUGGGAUCUGACCUUCAGAGAGGAGAUGAGAAGCUCAUGGAGGUUGGAGGAGCAGCUGCGCCCACAGAACUACGUCUCCCAGGAUGCACUUCAGCUACAGCCUCAUACUGACACCUAGAGGCCUCCUGUCGAACAGCAACAGCAUGGUCACACUGGCUUGUUUCUGGAACCCUGUUGGAUAAACAAUAAACUCAUUAUUCAUAUUCUAAUCUCAGGUGUUUGUUCAUCAGUUCAACAGGAAGUGGGAUUAAUGAGCUGCAGCAAUCUCAUGCAGAUAACCACAUGAUCAAAGGUAGAUAGAUGUAAGACGACUCGUGUCCUGCUUUCAGAAGCUAGUUACUCUGAGUGGCUGGGCUUCUGAAGAGAACUACAAAAAUGUCCUCCUUUCCACUACAACGUUCACGUGAGGAAGGUGCAAACGCUGUUUAGCCUUUUCUUCAGCAUCCAGACAGGGCCAGGAGCUCUGCCCCCUUGCUUCCGUACUUGUCGUCCUGAAGAUCACGAAGGUCUCCCGCUGCUGCAGCCAGUCAGAAACAAAUGCAGGUUUCAGUUUGUUACC